rnacentral:rRNA from 1 species
AUUGAACGCUGGCGGCAGGCCUAACACAUGCAAGUCGAGCGGUAGAGAGAAGCUUGCUUCUCUUGAGAGCGGCGGACGGGUGAGUAAUGCCUAGGAAUCUGCCUGGUAGUGGGGGAUAACGUUCGGAAACGGACGCUAAUACCGCAUACGUCCUACGGGAGAAAGCAGGGGACCUUCGGGCCUUGCGCUAUCAGAUGAGCCUAGGUCGGAUUAGCUAGUUGGUGGGGUAAUGGCUCACCAAGGCGACGAUCCGUAACUGGUCUGAGAGGAUGAUCAGUCACACUGGAACUGAGACACGGUCCAGACUCCUACGGGAGGCAGCAGUGGGGAAUAUUGGACAAUGGGCGAAAGCCUGAUCCAGCCAUGCCGCGUGUGUGAAGAAGGUCUUCGGAUUGUAAAGCACUUUAAGUUGGGAGGAAGGGUUGUAGAUUAAUACUCUGCAAUUUUGACGUUACCGACAGAAUAAGCACCGGCUAACUCUGUGCCAGCAGCCGCGGUAAUACAGAGGGUGCAAGCGUUAAUCGGAAUUACUGGGCGUAAAGCGCGCGUAGGUGGUUUGUUAAGUUGGAUGUGAAAUCCCCGGGCUCAACCUGGGAACUGCAUUCAAAACUGACUGACUAGAGUAUGGUAGAGGGUGGUGGAAUUUCCUGUGUAGCGGUGAAAUGCGUAGAUAUAGGAAGGAACACCAGUGGCGAAGGCGACCACCUGGACUAAUACUGACACUGAGGUGCGAAAGCGUGGGGAGCAAACAGG